AGAGUUUGAUCAUGGCUCAGAUUGAACGCUGGCGGCAGGCUUAACACAUGCAAGUCGAGCGGGGAAAGGUAGCUUGCUACCUAACCUAGCGGCGGACGGGUGAGUAAUGCUUAGGAAUCUGCCUAUUAGUGGGGGACAACAUUCCGAAAGGAAUGCUAAUACCGCAUACGUCCUACGGGAGAAAGCAGGGGACCUUCGGGCCUUGCGCUAAUAGAUGAGCCUAAGUCGGAUUAGCUAGUUGGUGGGGUAAAGGCCUACCAAGGCGACGAUCUGUAGCGGGUCUGAGAGGAUGAUCCGCCACACUGGGACUGAGACACGGCCCAGACUCCUACGGGAGGCAGCAGUGGGGAAUAUUGGACAAUGGGGGGAACCCUGAUCCAGCCAUGCCGCGUGUGUGAAGAAGGCCUUUUGGUUGUAAAGCACUUUAAGCGAGGAGGAGGCUACUAGUAUUAAUACUACUGGAUAGUGGACGUUACUCGCAGAAUAAGCACCGGCUAACUCUGUGCCAGCAGCCGCGGUAAUACAGAGGGUGCGAGCGUUAAUCGGAUUUACUGGGCGUAAAGCGUGCGUAGGCGGCUGAUUAAGUCGGAUGUGAAAUCCCUGAGCUUAACUUAGGAAUUGCAUUCGAUACUGGUCAGCUAGAGUAUGGGAGAGGAUGGUAGAAUUCCAGGUGUAGCGGUGAAAUGCGUAGAGAUCUGGAGGAAUACCGAUGGCGAAGGCAGCCAUCUGGCCUAAUACUGACGCUGAGGUACGAAAGCAUGGGGAGCAAACAGGAUUAGAUACCCUGGUAGUCCAUGCCGUAAACGAUGUCUACUAGCCGUUGGGGCCUUUGAGGCUUUAGUGGCGCAGCUAACGCGAUAAGUAGACCGCCUGGGGAGUACGGUCGCAAGACUAAAACUCAAAUGAAUUGACGGGGGCCCGCACAAGCGGUGGAGCAUGUGGUUUAAUUCGAUGCAACGCGAAGAACCUUACCUGGUCUUGACAUAGUAAGAACUUUCCAGAGAUGGAUUGGUGCCUUCGGGAACUUACAUACAGGUGCUGCAUGGCUGUCGUCAGCUCGUGUCGUGAGAUGUUGGGUUAAGUCCCGCAACGAGCGCAACCCUUUUCCUUAUUUGCCAGCGGGUUAAGCCGGGAACUUUAAGGAUACUGCCAGUGACAAACUGGAGGAAGGCGGGGACGACGUCAAGUCAUCAUGGCCCUUACGACCAGGGCUACACACGUGCUACAAUGGUCGGUACAAAGGGUUGCUACCUAGCGAUAGGAUGCUAAUCUCAAAAAGCCGAUCGUAGUCCGGAUUGGAGUCUGCAACUCGACUCCAUGAAGUCGG
rnacentral:rRNA from 1 species